GUGGGGAAUCUUGCACAAUGGGGGAAACCCUGAUGCAGCGACGCCGCGUGAACGAUGAAGCCUUUCGGGGUGUAAAGUUCUUUCGGCAGGGACGAUUAUGACUGUACCUGCAGAAGCAGCUGCGGCUAACUACGUGCCAGCAGCCGCGGUAAUACGUAGGCAGCAAGCGUUGUUCGGAAUUACUGGGCGUAAAGAGUGCGUAGGUGGUUGGUUAAGUUUGGUGUGAAAUCUCCCGGCUCAACUGGGAGGGUGCGCCGAAAACUGGCUGGCUAGAGUGUGGGAGAGGGAAGCGGAAUUCCUGGUGUAGCGGUGAAAUGCGUAGAUAUCAGGAGGAACGCCUGCGGUGUAGACGGCUUCCUGGACCAUGACUGACACUGAGGCACGAAAGCGUGGGUAGCAAACAGGAUUAGAAACCCUGGUAGUCC
rnacentral:rRNA from 1 species